GCCGGGCGUGGUGGUGUGCACCUAUAAUCCCAGCUACUCAGGAGGCUGAGGUGGGAGAAUCGCCUGAGUCCAGGAGUUCUGGGCUGCAGUGCGCUAUGCCCAUAGGGUGUCCGCACUUGCUUCAGCAUCAAUAUGGAGACCUCCCGGGAGCGGGGGAUCAUCAGGUUGCCUAAGGAGCGGUGAACCCGCCCAAGUCAGAACGGAGGAGGUCAAAAAAAUUCUUUUUAAAAAGGAAAGUCAAGGGCCGGGGAUUUAGCUCAGUGGUUCCCCUCCUGCCUCAAAAGCGCAAGGACCCGAGUUU
ensembl:misc_RNA Metazoa_SRP Metazoan signal recognition particle RNA